GGAAAAAGCAUUUCUUAUCACUACAAAAAAAAAAGCGUUUUUCCCACGGAAUAUUUCUCACGGAAUUAAUUCCGUCAGAAAUAUUUGAAUUUUGAACAUAAUUUUUUCCACGGAAUUCAUUCCGUCGAAAGUAUAACUUACCCACAGAUGGUUACCCACGGAGAUCUAUUCGUCGAAAAUUUGAUACCUUUCUGGCAGAUUAUUUGAAUGGAAUAUGCAUCCGUCGGAAUUUAAAAAUUUUCCCAAACAUAAAGACCCCAACCCUAAUUGCCUCUCACUCACUUACCCACAAAUCAUUUCUUCCUCCCACGGUGCCAUCGCUAGCUCCCAUUCUGUCACCGACGUUGCCGCCCCACCACAGUGAGCCCACACAAGGAAUGUCGCCCCCGCUGUCUUUCUUCACUGGGGCUACAGCGGCAUCGAUUCUGGGUCUCUACGCCCUCCACAAGGGAUUGUCGCACCUGCCAAUAAUACAUAACAACACAUCCUAGGGUUCAUGGUCCCAUUCUCUUUGUCCUUUGCCUUUGUAUUCCCUCACAACAACGGUCAUUUGAAAGUUGAAGAGGAACAAUGCCUUCUCAAAGUGAACAACACUAGAAGAAAGAAGAGGAGAGUGUAGAUGCACAAACACAUAAUUUUCUCAAAAGCCCUGUUUCACUAUCUUAUUACAAAUAAUUUUAUUCUCUGUCACUUGUUUAUCUCACAUGAUUAUGGUGCUUCUCAAAUUUAUGGCUAAUUGAGAAAAGCCAUGCUUAUACCAGGACAAAACAAAAAAUAAAAGUCCUUAAAUUAACUAA